AUAGGCUCCAGCUAUGUCUGAUCAAGGGGGAAGAAGCAUUUCCUGUGAGGACCCACAGCACAGUUUGGGGUGCUGCUGGUGUGGAGAGGGACCACAUUCAGGACCAGGAUCCCAUUCCUGAGCCCUAGAUUCACUUACACAUGACAUUAAAACUUCAAAGCAGGACUGCAGGAAACAACAAUUUUCUGAAGGCAGCAAAGGCUUAGUUAUGAGACUGCAAAGAGAAGCCAAAAUGAAGAACAUCUGCCUGAAUGCAGCCAAACACACACUGCAGCAAACCCAGAAGCACAGGCUGAAGCAGGCAAGUGUAAUCUUGGAAAAAUUGAAGUGAUUGAGGCAUGAUGACAUCUUGCUGUGUUUACCUGGCGGGUCUGCAAGCCAUGUGAACAAAGGCCAUGAGAUGCCACGAAUUUUCUCCAACCUUCUGCUAAAAUGGGGCUGGUAAGCAUAGUGUCAAAUGGCUCUUGAAGUUUUUACUCUUGAGUGUAUAUGGGAAAAAAAUAAUCUGUGGAAGGUGGUGGCAAGUAAGAGAGGGCAACAAGAGUCAAAUGAUGAUGCACUGGUCACGGUGCAUGCUGACAACUAACUGUAACCAUCUAAUCUUCUUCCAGCAUGGAUCAUGGACUCCCAAACUAGUGUGGUUCCAGAUUAAAUCAUGGAGAGUUUACACAGAGUGCAAAGAUCUGUAGUUACAGAACCUCAGCCAGUGACACUGCUGCAUUGAGGUGUCAAGGACUCUUACAUCUGCCAGGGAUUUGCAAGGUGUAUUGAGGUGGAAAAAUCCCAGCUGCCACAGAUGGUUUCAGGGCUUCUGUUAUGCAACUUUUUCAGUGCAGCUUCUUGCAGUUCACCUCAGGGACCGUGCCAUAGUGAGACAGAAUUACAUGGGUACUGUAAAACUGGAAUAAUGGUACUAAUGCCCACCUGACGUAAUUUGCAGAAUUAGAAUGUCAAGCACUACCUGGAUUUACUGUAAUCCAUAUUAAUUGCCAGUUGCAGUCUGCAGGGUCAGUUGCAGCCACAAGGCUCACUGAAGGAGUGCCUGGUGCCCUGCUUUCUGGAGCACCUUUCCAGACCUCAUCACAGGUCGUGUUUCCACAUGGGGUGAUGAGCUCUGAGUAGGGCCACACUGCAAGGCAGCCUUCCCAUGUGGUACUGAGCUGGAAGAGGCACAGGAAAGAGGAAACAGUUCUCUAGCUGCUGCAUGGCUCUAUGGCUGCUCACCCAGUCCAGCAGCUGCACUGUGGCAAAGCAUGACUGCCAGGAAAGUGAGUGUAUACUGACACCAAAGAGGUGAGGGGGGAGAAGGAAGAUGUAUUGGGCAGAAAUCAGGGCACAGGAAUUCUUGUUCUAGUCAUGGCCUUAUUUUGGUUCCAGUUCAAUGCAUGCACCAUUCAUGCCUACCUUUUGAGAAUGCAGGAAGAGAAAACCAUGUGAGGAAAAUUUAAAAGGGGACCUAGGAGAAACAUAGCUACAGUAAUUGAGAUGGAUCAAUGCAAAUCUAAGCUCUAAUAAUCUGUUUUACUGGAUGGCAAUAUGGAAUUUAAUUAGUUGAAAUAUUUUGUAAAUCUUGAUGCUGAAUAAUAUAACAGCUGUGAAAAAAAGGAAAGAAGAAGACCCUGUGAAUAGAAGCUACAGUGAUGAUGUAAUCAUGGCAAGGCACAGGUAAAAGAAGAAAUAUAUCCUGUUGGUGGAGUAACACAUUAGGUAAGAUUUUCUUGAAGGGAUUCCAAUGUUCUAAUUUCUCAUUUGUCUUUCUGAUACCAGCCUUUAGGUAUUAAUACAGAAUUUUGUAAGUUUAUGAUGGUGUGGGACAGACUUAGUGAACACCUGCUUUUGUCAGCCAUGUAAUUGCCAGCCUUGGAACUGGAGAGCUCAAGGGUCUUUGUCAUAAAAAAAGUUCCUGCAAUAGGUCUGGCAAAAUACUUUGUAACCUGUGUGUCCCUACAGUACUGUGUAGGGUUGAUGGUAGUUGGCACUACUCAGCUGGCACCAGUUUGGAAAUUUCCACAUGCUAUAAGAAUACUUAAAAGGCUUUUUAUUCUGAAGGUUUCUGAAAUGGGAGAAAGCAUUUUUUAGCAACAGAAUGUAACUUGAAUGUGUUGAGAGAAAAAAAAUGACUUCCUGGUGGAUGUUCCAAAGACUGAUUCUUUGCUGUUUAAAAUGAAAUUAAUUCAGAGUAUAUAGAAGUUUUCCCCCUUGGAGAACCAAAUUAAAAGGGAGGAGAGUACAAGCAGUGAAAAUUUCAACUUUUUAAUUUUUUUUGGAAAAUACAUGAAAAAACUCCCUUUUGUAAGUAGCUGGAAUCAGUAGUUUUGAGCCACAAUGACAGUGAAGCCUGUCUGAAGGUUCCCAUCAACUCACCAGCAGAUCAUUCCCAUGAGCUGGCAGUUGUUUGCCACAGUAGCUGUCAUCAGAGAAGAUGGUUCUUUUUUUUUCAGCUGCUGAAGGGCUAGUAAUAGGAUAAUGAGCAGUUUGCACUUUCUCAUUAGCAUUUAUUCAUCACAGACAGUGCAUGCAAAGUGUCUGUAACUAAAGUAUUAAGUAACCACGUUGUGAUAUUUGUUCUGUGUUAUAUUUCUGAAGUGUCUAGACUUUUUUAUUGGUAUUUGAUAAAUUGUGGUUGAAGCCCUGCAUAUUUAAAUUAAAUAAUUAUACAAGCUCAUGGGAUCACUUCUACAUUGUCAAAUAAAGGGAUUAUUUUGUGUAAAUCUUUGUUUCUCCUCCAGAAAGCACCUUUUUGAGCUAUUCUUCUCAGGAUCCUUUUCUUGUGAUAUGAAAAUGUUAGUCUGCACUGUAAAUGCCCUUGAGGAAUUUGGUUUACUUUUAAUGAUAAAAACUGUUUUGUAGUCAGUACACCUGGAAAAAGAACAUUCUUAGUAUAAUUAUGCUAAUGCCAAAUUAAAACCAUCUCAAGGCCUCUUAGCAAGGGGAAUGAACUUUGCUACACCUACCUGAAGGGUUUUAGGACUGGAAAAGGUUCUUCUGUAAUGAAGUAGAAAAGGAGGAGGGUUGAAAGAUGGGACAAGCAUUUCAGGACAAGCUUAAGAGGCAGGUCUGCUUCAACCCAUGCCUUCUCUCUGCCAGGAAACAGGGGGUGGAUGAGCAUGGCUGGCUGUUCCUCACAGCUGUGUUCCUGAUCAAGCUGUAAAUGUUACUCCAUACGUUUUGGCCCUUUCUUAUUGUGGCCAAUGCUAAAGUGGGUUUUCAGGAAUUUGAAACUCACCACUUAUAAUCUAUCUCAUGUAGAAUUCAAUGAUAAACAUAAGAUAAAUGUAAGAUAAACAUGAUUCCAUUAAUUUUCUCUCUCCUUCUCUCUAUUGUCAGAAUACUUCUCCCUCUUAUGAUAUCUUCCCCUGGAGGUUUUUUUUUUGUAAAGACUGUAGAGAGCUUUUUUUAGGAAGAAUACUCCCAUAUCCACUUGAAAACAGGUUUUUACAAAAGCUUAGAGAAACUGCUUUUCUGAAUUUAUAUAUAAAAGCCACUUUUUAUAAACCCCUGUAUUUUUCUCAUGAGAUAUAGUAGAUUUAUCUUGAUUUAUCUUAUUUCCCAAAGGUGGGAAGAUGAGUGUUACUGACCAAACAAUGCUCUUUGCAGUAAUCUGUGUGUUGUGGUAGAUCUGAAUGGAGCUUCCAUCAGCUUCUGGAUCUGAUUCUCAGAUUUUCUAGUCAGCACAGUUUUUCUGAAACCAGCAGUGUCUUGCAGGCAGAUCCGGCAGAGAACACCCUCUGUCUCCUCUUCAUUCUAUCCAACACAACAAAACAAAACACAUCAUUUUUUUUUUAAGAGGAACUAAUAAAUACUUGAGAUAAAAAGAGUUGAUUCUUCCAGCAUAAUGAAAAGAUUGUUUCUUGCUAACAAUGUUUGCAGGAUUGGUGCCUCAACUAUACUAUUUAAAGCAGAGGUUGCUCUUUCUUGUCUUUAUGAUCUGUUCAGCAGAGCAGAAUAAAACAGAAUGUGAAGUGUGCUAGAGAUGUUUUGUACUUGCAAGAGUGUAAUGAAGUUAAUUAAAAAUAUGUAUAAAUUAAUCAGACAAUCAUAUACAAUCAUAUAAUAAUUUAUUUUGGAUAGCAUCUGUGGUAGUUAUCAGGCUUGACCUGCCACUUAAAUCAGAGACAACUCUGAACUUGUCUCAGUUUACUCGAGGCAUUUUGCAAUCAAAUUCUGAAUACCUCCAAUAAUGGAUAUCCCACAGCCUGUCUGGGCAACCUGUGCCAGUGUUUGACCACUAUUGUUAUGAGGAAUAUUUUUCUUGCUAUGAAAAAUUCGAUUUUUAACCUGAAGUGUGUCUUUUUUAAAUUAAGAACUGAGGUUGUUCCUGCUUGCAUUCAAAAUGGUAAAAACUGGAAGCCAGAAGAAUUGCUGCUGUCUGGCCUCUGCCUCUCAGACAAUUUGGUGUGAGUAGUCCUGCUCAGAAGUGUCUUGACAUAACUCAUCCUAAGAGGCUCACAAGCAACUCUUCCAUGGCAAACUGUAGGUCUGUGACAGCUGUGCAUUGCCUAGAAAAGGAGCCGUGCAAUUGUUCUUACUGUUGUAUGACGGCAGUCUGAGGCAAACAUCUUUGAAAGAACUAUUCUAAACACAAAAUUCUGAGUUCCAUGCUAUCUGCCUUAUGGGAGCCUGGUCCUAUUGAAUGGUCUGGGUGUCCUGGCGAUUUUUUUUAAUGUCUGGGUGACAAAACAUCAAGACUUAUAAGUAAGCCUAUUUCUUGAAUACUAGCGAACUUCCAGUUGUUGCCUACUCUGGUCUGUGACAAGUGGGGCAGUUCAGAAUGGGGUAGUUACAGAAACUGAUGGAGUCACAUCUCUGGCCUACAAGAAGAGGAAGGAUUUUCAGAAUCCCAGUUUGGAACUUGGGCACUUAUAUUUAUGCACUAGACUGGUGAUGCCCGAGAUACUUGUGAAUUAUAGUUUGGUUUUGGGGGUUUUUUUUGUUGUUUUUUUUAUUAAUAUUAAAGGAAUGACAAACCUUAGUUUUCACAUAACAAAACACCAAUCUGAACAUCAUGUUUACUUUAAUUUAUUGAGUGAUGGAUUGUCAGGUAGGGUUGCUGUAAGCACAACAAUACGACCAUCCUUUAAUUUUAUGUCAUCCAAAGGAACUUGAAUGAAAUGUCAGUUAAAAGCAGUCCUUUGAAUACAUAUUAAACCUGAAAAAUAAUUAAAAAAAAAGACAGAAAAGCUUAAUUAUCUAAUCUUUGAAAUAUUUUUAGAUAUCUAAUGCAAAAAACGACCCCUCUCCAAUUCUAAUACAACCAGAUGCAUCACUAUUAAUUUACAAUAUGCAAGCCAGAAUAACUGGCUGGUGCUGCAUGUUGUUCUUGCAGUGUACUGUGCAUUUUAAAUCCCUGUUCAUGUGCCUCAAAAACAUACUGCUGUUAUAAUGCCCAGUAUAGGUUUUACCUCUAAGGAGCCUAACAAUAGCUUCUAUUCCAGAAUAGAAAUGGCUUGUUGCAUGACAAAAGCCUUUUGUGAGAAGAAAAGUUGAGCAAACCAGUUUUAUGCUCAGCUGUCUUUGUUUCCAGGCAGGCAGCUAAUAAUGUGUGUUUGUCAGUUUACUACUUCCGCGCUGUUCCAGAAAGCAGUGCUCUUGGGCAUGACUCGUUGAGGUUGCCCUUCAUGGUUCAUCAUCUGAGUGGCCUUCUGGGAAAAGAACUUUGCAGCAAUUCUGUUUGAACUAACCUUCAUUGUGUCUGUGCCUAUAAAUAUGGGAUAUCUUUCUACUAGAUUUUUACUAGGCCAUUUCUAAUGGUGACCUGAACUAGAAUGAAGUGGACAUGAACAAAAAGGAAGAUCUUACUCAGCAGGUAAGAGACUGAUCAUGAAUGAUUUCUGAGCAGAUAUAUGGUAUAAAAUACUUGCAUCUACCUCAAGAUUUCAAGUGAGUGGGGUGUACCUUUUGAAUUAUGUACAAGGCUCUUCAUGCAUGUUGAGCAUGGUCUGAUCCUGAAGGAAAUGAAGGUCAAAUAAAAGAGGCUUCUUGUUUAAGCUGAAAACACUCCAUUUGUUUUAGGAAGCAAGGGUGAGAUUUUGGCUUCCUAUUAGUUUCAUUUAUAGCUUUAUCAAAAGUAACAGAAAUAGAUAUCUUAAAUCUGAUCCUAUUAAUGUUUUUGGGGAAACAUAUUGGCUUUGACUUCAUUAAUGUAAAUUAAAGCACUACAAUCUAUGUGUCAGGAUCCGACCUGGAUUAGAAAGUGACACUCUCGAGUGAGGCUGCUGACCCAAAUGGAAAUGCUUUAUUUCUAUAUAAGUGCAUUUUAAAACAGAUUCUGGACCUGAAUUCAUGCUUUUGUGGUCCCAAACCACUGUGAAGGAAGGAUCAGCUUGUUAAUUUUGAGAGUCCGCCUUAUUUGGGGAUUUUCUUUUUAACUGUGCAGGUAGCAUAGUCAAGGAGAAGUAAUUGCAAAUAAUCUUGUUACAAGGACAACUCUGUUGCUUUGAAGCAGCAAGAUAAUCAACAACCUUGAGAAGCUUGUCUGGUAAUUGCAUAUGUAGUAUGAGGGCUUUGAAUGAGUGUAACAGACAAAGGCAGAUGUUAGAUGUGAAAUUAAAUAGCAUAAUAUUGUGAGGUAACCUCACUCCAUCCAUUUUCACAUGAAGGAUAUUAGUAAUCUUGAGAAUAUUUAAAAGUUUCAAAGAAGGAAGGAGACUUUUUCUGCUUCUCAUGUUUCCACACAUCUCCCUUGACCUAUGACAAGUUUGUGCUUCAACUUCUCCAACUGCAAAAUAAUGAGAUGUACCUAACAUUUAUGCCACUUUCACAUCCUUAACAAUGAUGUUUUCACAGCAUUAAAUCACUCUCAAAGAGCCACUUUAUCAGACAAGGUCACUGAGGGAGAAAUUACUCACAGCAAUAUCUUGACAAAGUGUGUGAUCCUCAUACUUGCUUACAAACAGCCAGUGUCUGUUUAUCGUCUCAUGCCUUGUUUUAGCACUGCACCCAAGAGCUAAAACCUCUCUCUGUGCUUGGAGACACACCCUGGAAAUAUCUGUGCUGUCCUCAGUACAGCUCCAUGGCCAGAUUCUGUCCUGGUUCAAAUCUUUGUAGCUCCAGUGACUCCAGUGAAGCUUCAUUAAUUCCCAGCAGUAGAUAAUUUGUUCUUGCAUCCUCUGCUCCUUCGCUGCCUGGUUGCUGGGGAAGCAGCAGGGCAAUGCUUUCUGCCUGCCAGGGAAAGGGGCAAGGAAAGCACUUGGACACAGAACUACUUGCUUUAUGGGUAUUCUUGUGUGAGAUCUUAAGCAGCAUCUCCUGCUGACUUGGCUUCAAGUGUUUGAAAUUCAUUACUACACAAAAAGAUUAAAUAAACUUGAUGUACCAACCUGGGAGAGCUGUAAAGGGUAACCUGGUAACAGCCAGACUGGGACAGAAGAAGUU